ACACCCAGACACGGACUGUCUUCAUCUCUCAGGUAUGGCCAAGUGAGACAAGGACAAAAGAGCCAUUUGGUCUACCUGCCUCACCUAUCUUGGACUCCUGCAACAAAAUGAUUUGAGGCAAAGUCUUGGUCUAAUUAAUUGAUGAGCUAUAUGUAUAGAGUCUUUCUUGGGCCCUAUCUCCUAGUAAGGAAGCCCAGGCAGAUCAUAAAAAGUCACAUGGAGAAGAAUCAGGGGCCCUUCCCCUGACUGAGCUCUUAGUCGGCAGCUAAUUGCACUUCUCUGGCCGUAUGAGUGACUCAUCGUGAAGCAGGUCUUGGUGCUCCAGUGCAGCUGCCGAAGAUGGUCUCUCGGGAACAGUUACGGAUCUCCCACGUACCAGAUCCCUGUUCAAACUUCCCAACUCGUGUGAGGUGGCACAUUUGCAGACCCAGUAGUGAGGAAGCUGAGGCAGGAGAAGAAAGAAUUCAAGGCCAACCUAACCGACAGUGAGAGCUCCAGACCACCCAGGGAGAUGUAGUGGGAGCACCUGUCUCAAACAAAUACAAAGUAACAAACAACAACAAC
rnacentral:lncRNA from 1 species